GUCAGGUUUGAUGGUGAGCAGAUGUGCCAGCCCCUCUCUUCAGUGCAUCCCUAUUUUCUGAGGAACCACUAGGGUCAAGGACGACCCACAUCUUAGUAGAAAGUCAUGGCUUCUAGGGCACGCAGAGGUCUGAGUACGGCCGAAAUCAAUGAAGUUAUUGCUCAAUAUGAAAGCGAUGAUUUUGAUGGCAGUUACGUUUCAUUUGGCUGACACGUAACAGGGACAUCUUCCUGCCAUUGGCCACGUCAAGCUGCGCAAGCGUGUUCGCUGCCGAAGUUGCCCAUCUAGAGACGACCACAAGACGAACACAGCAUGUUUGCGAUGCAAACGGGCCUGUGUUCCUACAGCAUCAAACUGUCUUGUGUCCGAAGUGUGUGCCUCGUACGUAGGUAGCAAAUUUGGCCGUCGCACUUGUCGUGGGUGGGGCCCCAUUUACUGUACAUAUCCAUUAGGUAAGUUGCAUACCGCUAUAUAUUCUUGUUCUCUAUAGAAUUUGUGAUAUUCUGGUAGAUUUUCAUGCAUAAAUAUCAUAUCUUAUAGUAGUUACAGACAUUUUUAUAAGAAAUUUUCAUGGUAAAACAAGGAGGUCAACAAAUGACCUAUACAUUAGAGUAAG